AGACGGAGGGGGUUAGCGUUGUUCGGAAUUACUGGGCGUAAAGCGCACGUAGGCGGAUUGGAAAGUUGGGGGUGAAAUCCCAGGGCUCAACCCUGGAACUGCCUCCAAAACUAACAGUCUAGAGUUCGAGAGAGGUGAGUGGAAUUCCAAGUGUAGAGGUGAAAUUCGUAGAUAUUUGGAGGAACACCAGUGGCGAAGGCGGCUCACUGGCUCGAUACUGACGCUGAGGUGCGAAAGCGUGGGGAGCAAACAGGAUUAGAAACCCUAGUAGUCC
rnacentral:rRNA from 1 species